GAGAUAUAUAAUUCCCAGUAUCAGUUAUCUUCUCCUCCUUUUCGGCGUUUGAAGCGUUAAUGUAGCGUGUGUGUGUGCUUUUGGAGGUGAAACUGAUUUAGAGCCGAAGUUUUUCGACAUGUCAGAAUCCCGAAGAGAUACAAGUAACGCAAAUGCGCAUUAUUUAUCUUUAUCGUAAUUUACACUCAUUGUUUAAUAACGUUUUUUUACUGUUCGCGAUCUAAACGGGAAUAGGUGGUAACCUUGACGAGAAAUAUAUUGUGAAAUUCAACACGUGGCUUGAAUUCUCGAUACCACUUUUCUUUUCUUAUUUAAAUUUAUGACUAUUUCGAUGGGAUUUGUAGCGAUAAGAGAUAUAUGUUUAUGUCACGCGGCGAGAAUAAAAUUUUCGACCGUGAUCUGUAUCUUAGUUUACUUUAAAUAUUCAUGAUACUGUUGCUUAGACAUGAAAGGCUGAAAGCAUGUUGAAGAUACAAUAAACAUUGUUAUUAUUAGGCCAUAUCGAUUUAGUUACUUGUUUUGAUACUUUCUUUUCAAAUAUAAAUUCUUAGGUUCUGAAUUAGAUUCUGAAGGUUCAUAUAGAGAAACAAACAGGAGCAGACAAAGAAAACGUAAAUGGGUGUAUCCGUCUAAAAAAUAUAAAGGAGUAUUUGUCCUCGUUCAAGACAACCAAGAAACAUUAAUAACCAAGAGUGUGGUACCUAGAAUAGCUGCGUAUGAAGGAGAAAAAAGAAUCUAUUUUCUGGAUAAAUACAAACGGGAAAGAAUUGAGUACAGAAUUUGGGAUCCAUUUAAAUUUAAAUUAGCUGCUGCUAUUCGUAAAGACAUUAACAAUAUUUAUAUAAUGCCCAAAAGUAAAGUAUUAUACUUGGGUGCAGAAUCGGGCACUGCUGUGUCUCAUGUUGCAGAUAUAGUUGGUCUGGUAAGUAAACCACCAGAAACAUAAAAGAAUUUUAACUUGUGCACACAUUAGAGCCAAAUUGAUUUACUAUUGCCAAUUUGGUGUCGAAGUGGUGCUAGAACAAUUAUACGCUUGUUUUUUCUAUAGUGAGUAAGAUUUGAUUUUACUUUGAAAGGAAAACUUGCGUACAAAGUCCAUACGAUGGAAUUGUUUAUGCAGUAGAAUCUGUCCAGAAACAUAUGAAACAGUUGGUCGAAGUUGCUCAAAAAAGGAGUAAUAUUGUUCCUAUACUUGAGGAAGCGUGGCAUCCUUACAAGUACCGAAUGCUUAUAGGAAUGGUAGAUGUCAUUGUCUCUGAUAUAGCACGACCGGAUUACACUGAAAUUGUUGCAAAAAAUGCGCACAACUAUCUUAAAAAUGGGGGUCAUUUUGUGAUAUUUAUUAAAAUGAGCAUGGAUCCGUCCGACAGAUAUAACGACGCGUGGAGAACAGCAAGACGUAACUUGGAGAAUGAGAAACUGAGGAUUGAAGAGUACAAGAAACUGGAUGAGAAAAAUAACUAUAUUAUUGUUGGCGUUUUCGACGUUAAUUUUAAUCUUGAAAUACGUAUGAGACUCUAAGACUCAAGCAAUACAAAAAUCAAAACAUUAUUCUAGUCAACAUUUUGAUAAUAAAGGAAUGGUGGUAUCAAAGGAAAGAUCUUGCUAAGCAAAAAUCAAAACAUUGUUCUAGUCAACAUAUCAUGUUCGAAUAUCUUGUUUUGCUGGUCUGUUGUAUAAUCUUAUUCACAUAUUUAUUUUCAUUUUCAAUUCUGAUGAUCAGCUAGGUAAAAUGUGCAACAAGAUAUCAAUAACAAAAAACACUGUGAUUCUAAAGUUGAGAUUACUGUGAUAUUUAUAACUUGCUAAAAACUUUUUAUUUUAUAAUUUUGUGUGUAAUUUUAAGGUACAUGUUUCUGAAUGUCUGUACGCGUAUAUACCGAUAUAAAAUUCUAUACAUAUAUUUUCAUAUCUUCCAAAUUUCAUAUCUUUCAAGUUCUAUUCCAAAUUCUCACAUUAGCUCAUAUAAAAUAGAUUUUAUACAUUAUGAAUGUUACAACGAAUAAUAUACAGACAUAUUUUUAUAUUUUUUUAUAUACAUAUAUAACACGAAUUCUAUUGUACAUAUCGCACUUUUUAUAUUCCAACUAUUUUGUAACUUAUAAAUUUA